rnacentral:rRNA from 1 species
UGAACGCUAGCUACAGGCUUAACACAUGCAAGUCGAGGGGCAUCAGGAAGAAAGCUUGCUUUCUUUGCUGGCGACCGGCGCACGGGUGAGUAACACGUAUCCAACCUGCCCUUUACUCGGGGAUAGCCUUUCGAAAGAAAGAUUAAUACCCGAUAGCAUAAUGAUUCCGCAUGGUUUCAUUAUUAAAGGAUUCCGGUAAAGGAUGGGGAUGCGUUCCAUUAGGUUGUUGGUGAGGUAACGGCUCACCAAGCCUUCGAUGGAUAGGGGUUCUGAGAGGAAGGUCCCCCACAUUGGAACUGAGACACGGUCCAAACUCCUACGGGAGGCAGCAGUGAGGAAUAUUGGUCAAUGGGCGGUAGCCUGAACCAGCCAAGUAGCGUGAAGGAUGAAGGCUCUAUGGGUCGUAAACUUCUUUUAUAUAAGAAUAAAGUGCAGUAUGUAUACUGUUUUGUAUGUAUUAUAUGAAUAAGGAUCGGCUAACUCCGUGCCAGCAGCCGCGGUAAUACGGAGGAUCCGAGCGUUAUCCGGAUUUAUUGGGUUUAAAGGGAGCGUAGGUGGACUGGUAAGUCAGUUGUGAAAGUUUGCGGCUCAACCGUAAAAUUGCAGUUGAUACUGUCAGUCUUGAGUACAGUAGAGGUGGGCGGAAUUCGUGGUGUAGCGGUGAAAUGCUUAGAUAUCACGAAGAACUCCGAUUGCGAAGGCAGCUCACUGGACUGCAACUGACACUGAUGCUCGAAAGUGUGGGUAUCAAACAGGAUUAGAUACCCUGGUAGUCCACACAGUAAACGAUGAAUACUCGCUGUUUGCGAUAUACAGUAAGCGGCCAAGCGAAAGCAUUAAGUAUUCCACCUGGGGAGUACGCCGGCAACGGUGAAACUCAAAGGAAUUGACGGGGGCCCGCACAAGCGGAGGAACAUGUGGUUUAAUUCGAUGAUACGCGAGGAACCUUACCCGGGCUUAAAUUGCAGUGGAAUGAUGUGGAAACAUGUCAGUGAGCAAUCACCGCUGUGAAGGUGCUGCAUGGUUGUCGUCAGCUCGUGCCGUGAGGUGUCGGCUUAAGUGCCAUAACGAGCGCAACCCUUAUCUUUAGUUACUAACAGGUCAUGCUGAGGACUCUAGAGAGACUGCCGUCGUAAGAUGUGAGGAAGGUGGGGAUGACGUCAAAUCAGCACGGCCCUUACGUCCGGGGCUACACACGUGUUACAAUGGGGGGUACAGAAGGCAGCUAGCGGGUGACCGUAUGCUAAUCCCAAAAGCCUCUCUCAGUUCGGAUCGAAGUCUGCAACCCGACUUCGUGAAGCUGGAUUCGCUAGUAAUCGCGCAUCAGCCACGGCGCGGUGAAUACGUUCCCGGGCCUUGUACACACCGCCCGUCAAGCCAUGGGAGCCGGGGGUACCUGAAGUGCGUAACCGCAAGGAUCGUCCUAGAGUAAAACUGGUGACUGGGGCUAAG